rnacentral:lncRNA from 1 species
UCCGGGGCGGCCGCGGGCCUGCGGAGCGGCGCGGCCGAGGGGGCGCGCGGGGCGCGCGGCGCCAACGGUCACUGACGCAGGUAUGGUGUAUCUGAGUGUGGAAUCCUCUUCACCUGAAUAUCUUAGAGCUACAGAAUGGGUACACACUUUGAGAGCUUCGGUGGAGGAAGCCCUGGGAUUGUGUCAGCUAAGAAAGGAUCUUGCGCAAGUCUUCCCAUGGCCCCAGGAAAAAAGAGUGCACUGUAGUGUCAGAGAGUGAUUUUUUCUCUUCUCUCCUUGCCCUGUCUCUGAUGAUGUAUUAUUUUAUGUCACAUCUUGGUAUUUUAACUGUGGAACUAACCUUUUUACAAGUAGAGCAAAAGGUGAUGUGUAUUACAUUUCUUUUUGAAAACACUGUUAAGGAUCUUUUGGGUUUGCCCUUGUCCAUGUAGUGUAAAAUAAUGUUUGGAUGAUCAUGUUUUGCUUGGCUUCUUUCCAGAUUGUUUCUACUCACUUUACACUUCUCUCUGUGUAAUAUCUGACUGGUAAUCCCCCACAUAGGUGUGUAAUAAUAUAUUACAUAGUCUUUUUUACUACCCUCUUCUAGGAAACAAAGGCAUUGGCAGUAGUAAUGUUUUUGCAUUUAUUAAUAAAGAAACAAAAGUAGUCUUGAUGU